rnacentral:snRNA from 1 species
AAGGGUAUACGAGUAGCUGCGUUCCCCUGCUAGAACCGCCAAACAAGCUCUCAAGGUCCAUUUGUAGGAGUACGUAGGGUAGUCAAGUUUCCAAGACUCCAGACACAUCCAAAGGAGGCGCUGCAUGUGGCAGUUUGCCUUUCUUU